GCGCGCUGCAGCCCCGCUGGGGGCAUGGAGGUUCCCCGCCCCUGUAUCCAGCGCUUUGGCCUCGGGGCGCGCCUUCCGGCGCACGGGUGUUCACGCGAACUCGGGCAGCCUUUGGAUUUUGCCGAAAGGGCGCUUCAAAAGAGGAUUUCGCCUCUCCCUUCGCUCUCAGUUCCCAUCACGGUCGGCUGGAGCGGUCCCGAGCUGUGACGUCCCCCUCGCCUCAUGAGCCGGGGUCUCCCUGGCCAGGGUGGGGAGGGGCGUUUUGGAGAGCACAUGGGGACGGGGAGGGGGGAGUUGUGACAGUGUGCAUGGACGUUAACAAGUUGCCGAUUAGCCCGCUAAAAGCUUGGAAACUUGAGAAGCCUCAAGGAGGACGUAAAAGCGCUUUAGGGAUGCUUCUUAACUUUGGAGGGCCUGUGAAGUCUGAUGCUAUCUUCUGUGGCAUUGCGGGUGGAUUUUCCAUUUAGUAUUGGAGACUGCACACUGGGAAUGUGCCACCAAAGUGCAGUGAAACCGAGGUGGAAGCACUGUUCCUCAGGUAGCUGAAACCGCUUCUAGAAAGCAUCUUUGGGCCCCAGGGCUGCCUCACAGCAGGAAACAGCAAAGAGACCAGCUGGCACAAGCUUUCUUUCUCUAGAAACCAGGUCUUUGCUGCUUCCCCACUGCCUACAAAAUCAUGAUCAACUUCUUCAGCUUGAUAUGCAAGACUUAUCACAGUUGAACUCAGGACUAUCUUCACAGUCUUGUCUCUGAUUGCCUGAAUACCCUAAAGUCACCCUGGACUAGCGUUCAUCAUUCCCUGCCUGUCCAUGCAAUUUCAUGCCUCUUUGCUACUGUCCAUUCUUUUCCAUCAUCUCUUCUCUUCCUGGUGAAACUCCUCUCCAUCCUUCCAGAUUUGGCUCUAAAUGUCACUCUCUUCUACAACUUCCUUUGAUCCUUUCUUCAGGGAGCUGGAGGAGGAAGUAAGGGAAGGGUCAUGUAGCAGAGAACAAAAAGGACCCAAUGAAGCUGCUAAAAUGAGUGCGAGGAGCCCUCAGACUAGAGAACACGAAGUACCUGGACAAAUGAGUGUUUGGCUACCGGGAAAUGGAGACAAAGCGCCCCAGCAAGACCACCAAGGAAAACUGGAUUUAAAGGAAGCUUCAUGCAAGUGGGUGAGAAGAGGUUAAAAGAUUUUCUUCAGAUGCACCAGGCCCUACCCUAAAGAAGGUCCUAACACAGACAGCUGUCGGACAAGAAUAGCACAGCACGCAGAAGAGGAUUGGGGCACCUGUAAAAGCAUCCAGGCCAGAGCUGAACAGAAUAUUCUUUCAGCCACCCCGGCUAAGGGUGGGCAACUGUCCUGAGUGAGGAAGAACUGAAAAUGAGGACGAGGAUUCCACUGUAUGUCCUUGCAGUCUGUUGCAUGUGGUUGUGUUUAGAGUAGUGUGGAACUCCAUACAGACACACCUCUCACUACACUGACUGGGUUCGGUGAAUCUUUUGUUGGUGUCUUAAAAUCCCCCAACUAAAAAUCUCCCCAGCUGACCGAUGCAGGUAACAUUUAGAGUUAAGGACUCUAAAAUUAAGGACUUUUCCUAUUCUAUCCAGACGUUUGUCACAUGACCCUUCUCUAGAACAGGUGGCUCCUGGCUGGGUGGUAGAAUUAUGAUGCCGUAAGAACCAUCAACUGGAUAGUAAAACUUUGCUUUCUUUUGCCUCAACAGGAUUAUGACAUCAGAUAUAAAGUAGCCAAUCAUCUCCCCCCUCCCUUCCUUCUUUCUUUCUUUUUUUUUUUCUUUCGCUUUUUACUAACAAUUUGGCUCAUCAAACUUUUUUUUUUAAAUAAGAUUUUAUUUAUUAGAGAGAGAGAGAGGGAGAAGCAGGCUCUCCACUGUGCAGGGAGCCUGAUGCAGUGCUUGAUCCCGGGACCCUGGGGUACUUAUGCUUAACUGGCUGAGCCACCCAGGUGCCUCAAGUUCAACAAUUUUUAUGGAGGUCCUAGAAUGAGUCAGUUCCUAUGCUGAGGAAAGCUAAAUAAACCUCUGUCCCUUUCUUCAAGAAGCUCACAAGCUUAUACAGGAGGCAGACAAAUGAGUUUAAUAGGGUGUGAUAAUUGCAACAAUAUCAACAUGUCUAAGAGUGAAAGAGAGAAAGCAUGAAGAAGAAUGGGGAUGAGCUCUGAGAGCCUGGGGGUAGUUAGUUAGGAAGAUUUUGUCAGUUUCCACUGGGUUUAAAUUUAUUAAAAGUGCAACUAUAGAGAAACCCCUUGCUUAUUUCCUAGGUUAGGUGCGUUAGUUAUUCCAGCAAGCCGGCAGAGUAAAUUGUACUAAAAAAAAAUGCUCAACUUUCAGUGAUUGACUAAUGCUCUCAGAAUCCAGACUUGACCUAAGCUGAGCUGUGAACCAAAACUUGAAAUAAAGGGCAAGAUUUGCUCAAUCUGAACCCUACCCAGUAUGUUAAAAGAAACAAACGAAACAACCAGCAUUAAAGAAUGUCAGAACUGCAAGAGAUCUUAGAGCUGAUCUAGUCUACGUUUUUCAUUAUGUAGAUGGAAAAAAAUGAAGCUCGGGGUGAUUAAAGACUUAUAUAAAGUCACAAGAAACCCCUAAUUGGCAGAGGGUGAGAUAAAGCAAGAGUCUUCAUCAUGAUCCAAGGGUAUUGUUCUUCCCACUUCUUCAACAUACCUGCUAGUGUACCACGAAAGAAAAAUUUGAUUUUAUCUUUUCUUUCCAAAUAAUUGCCUAGUGAGAAUAUCCUAAAAUAAUCAAAUUGAGACAAAAUUCAAAUGCUCUCCAAAUAGAGCCUUUAGUAAUCUGAUGUUUUCUUCCAUAUGUAUAAAAAAUAAGCUUUAAAAAUAGAAUUCAACCUGGUUGGCUACACGCUUGUAAUAUGAAGCAUAUGGAUUCUUCUUUCAUCAGCAACAUAGACAAUUUGCAAUCCAGGCUCCAGCUCUCUCUUAAAUUGAUUGCCAUCCAGCACUCAUCAAAAGCUCUGUGGAGGGGAUCAUUAUGAAGGGCACUUAUGAGGAUGUCCACUUACUCCUACAGGUAUGGCAGUUCUAAGCUUGUAUCAGGUAACAUCACCAGAGAGCUAAGAAAUUGCUUAGCCCUUUCUUUGGUAUGAGUUCUAGUGUUACUCCCCUUGGCAUUGAUCAAAGGUGACCACAAGGAAAAAUCAUAUCAAGAUUAUUUCUGUAUUUUCUUUAAAAAGUGGGGGAGGUAUUAAAGACACCAUCAUCUGUGUUGUUCUAGGCUCUUUGGAAAAGGAUAAGCAUAUUUUGUAACUGGUACCAGGAAAAUGUGUUCCAUUCAAAGAAGUGGUAUGUAUGGUUUUAAACUCAAAUAAUAAUAAUGAUUAUAAAAGUCAUUUUCCUUUCUGCGUUGGCUUCUACAAGGUACAGAUUAAAUGUUAAAUGAAGCUCAAUCUUUGUACAUAGGCUUAAAUUGGGGGCAUUUUUGCUUUUUUCCACUAAAAAAAUAUUUCUAAUCUAACAAUGAUAUUUUCUACAAGUCUCUUACUGUUUCAGAUCCUCUUUUGGAAGUAGUGGGGAGUAAAUAAUGAAUAAAUACCUA